rnacentral:rRNA from 1 species
GAUGAACGCUGGCGGCGUGCCUAAUACAUGCAAGUCGAGCGAACAGACGAGGAGCUUGCUCCUCUGACGUUAGCGGCGGACGGGUGAGUAACACGUGGAUAACCUACCUAUAAGACUGGGAUAACUUCGGGAAACCGGAGCUAAUACCGGAUAAUAUAUUGAACCGCAUGGUUCAAUAGUGAAAGACGGUUUUGCUGUCACUUAUAGAUGGAUCCGCGCCGCAUUAGCUAGUUGGUAAGGUAACGGCUUACCAAGGCAACGAUGCGUAGCCGACCUGAGAGGGGGAUCGGCAACACUGGAACUGAGACACGGUCCAGACUCCUACGGGAGGCAGCAGUAGGGAAUCUUCCGCAAUGGGCGAAAGCCUGACGGAGCAACGCCGCGUGAGUGAUGAAGGUCUUCGGAUCGUAAGACUCUGUUAUUAGGGAAGAACAAAUGUGUAAGUAACUAUGCACGUCUUGACGGUACCUAAUCAGAAAGCCACGGCUAACUACGUG